AUAAAGGCAAUUAGUACAACUUGGGUCUACAAAAGAUUAAACAAAUACAAAAGGGCCACUAUACAAGGCCAACAGUAAGCCCGACCCAACAAACAAACUAAUCCAAACCCAUAACCAAACAAACCAACUCAGGCCCCUUUUGAUUAAACCAAUCCCUCCCUUGAAACUACGCCACUGUCAAGAAACUGAGGAAGACCAAUGAGCAACCAAUAAGUCAAAAAAAGAGACGAUCAAAGUCGCCCAAAGUCCCACAGCACAUCCACCAACUAUCGUGAGCCAAACUUACAAUCCAACAGACAAAUCUUGAAACAGAGCCACCACAAUAAAGAGGUGCUGCCUUAAAGUUCCAUGACUAUCUAUAAGCUGUGAGGAUGGCCUUCCCAGUUGUAAUGUAGAAGUAAAUCCUCAGAGUUAAAACUACCAAUGCAAUAGACCUCCUGUCGAGCAGAGCCACCAAAUAAGACCCAUAGAAACAACAGAAGCUUGAAACACUGCAACAGGUGAAACCCUUCAGCAAACCAGAGUCUCUUCACUUAGGAAAGAACCUUCACAUCUCAGCACGAGACACUCAAACAGUCUCAAGCAGAUCAUCAUAAGAAUCCCUCACCAAGCACCUAAGAUCUACUAACCAAAACAACCAAAACCCAUUAUAAACUCCAAACAAAAGGGUUGAGGGGCCCUCAACCAAACCGGAGAAUAGAAAACACCUUUCUUGAGACAAGGGAUGGUCAUAGAAAAACUAAAACCUUUGCUAUAAGUUCGAGAGAGCAAAGAAAACAAGCUUGAGAGUAUUUUCUCUCUUCAAUCCCAUAUCUGUGGAUUUGUAU
rnacentral:misc_RNA from 1 species